rnacentral:rRNA from 1 species
UAGGGAAUCUUCCGCAAUGGGCGAAAGCCUGACGGAGCAACGCCGCGUGAGUGAAGAAGGAUUUCGGUUCGUAAAGCUCUGUUGUUAGGGAAGAAUGAUUGUAUAGUAACUAUAUACAGUAGAGACGGUACCUAACCAGAAAGCCACGGCUAACCACGUGCCAGCAGCCGCGGUAAUACGUAGGUGGCAAGCGUUGUCCGGAAUUAUUGGGCGUAAAGCGCGCGCAGGUGGUUUAAUAAGUCUGAUGUGAAAGCCCACGGCCCCAACCGUGGAGGGUCAUUGGAAACUGUUAAACUUGAGUGCAGGAGAGAAAAGUGGAAUUCCUAGUGUAGCGGUGAAAUGCGUAGAGAUUAGGAGGAACACCAGUGGCGAAGGCGGCUUUUUGGCCUGUAACUGACACUGAGGCGUGAAAGCGUGGGGAGCAAACAGGAUUAGAUACCCUGGUAGUCCACGCCGUAAACGAUGAGUGCUAAGUGUUGGUCUCAUAAGAGAUCAGUGCUGCAGCUAACGCAUUAAGCACUCCGCCUGGGGAGUACGACCGCAAGGUU